rnacentral:lncRNA from 1 species
CCGGGGGAGAUGUCAUGAAGUCAAGCAAAGGCCAGAAGAGCACCCUGUAAGGAGCCUCAUGGAGGUGCAUCUCCAUUUCAGGCAGGAUCCCAGAGAACCCAACAGCAUCAUGCAUAUCUACAGCUCAGAAGUUUACAAGUUAAUUUGCAACUUCACAGAGGAAGAAGCCAGGAGCUGGGAGUUUCCCCCAGUCAUGGCAUGCUAAGCUGGAGAGAGGAGCUUAGGCAGCUACACAGCUCUGUAGUCUUCACAUGCUUCAGCC